UACGAAGGGGGCUAGCGUUGCUCGGAAUUACUGGGCGUAAAGGGCGCGUAGGCGGACAGUUUAGUCAGAGGUGAAAGCCCAGGGCUCAACCUUGGAAUUGCCUUUGAUACUGGCUGUCUUGAGUUCGGGAGAGGUGAGUGGAAUGCCGAGUGUAGAGGUGAAAUUCGUAGAUAUUCGGCGGAACACCAGAGGCGAAGGCGACUCACUGGCCCGAUACUGACGCUGAGGCGCGAAAGCGUGGGGAGCAAACAGG
rnacentral:rRNA from 1 species